rnacentral:rRNA from 1 species
UACGUAGGGUGCAAGCGUUGUCCGGAAUUAUUGGGCGUAAAGCGCGUGUAGGCGGCCACGCAGGUCCGCUGUGAAAACUCGAGGCUCAACCUCGAGCUGUCGGUGGAAACCGCGUGGCUAGAGUCCGGAAGAGGGGACUGGAAUUCCCGGUGUAGCGGUGGAAUGCGCAGAUAUCGGGAGGAACACCCGUGGCGAAGGCGGGUCCCUGGGACGGUACUGACGCUGAGACGCGAAAGCGUGGGGAGCGAACAGG